rnacentral:rRNA from 1 species
GCCGCAAGGUUAAAACUCAAAUGAAUUGACGGGGGCCCGCACAAGCGGUGGAGCAUGUGGUUUAAUUCGAUGCAACGCGAAGAACCUUACCUGGUCUUGACAUCCACAGAAGAAUCCAGAGAUGGAUUUGUGCCUUCGGGAACUGUGAGACAGGUGCUGCAUGGCUGUCGUCAGCUCGUGUUGUGAAAUGUUGGGUUAAGUCCCGCAACGAGCGCAACCCUUAUCCUUUGUUGCCAGCGGUUAGGCCGGGAACUC